rnacentral:rRNA from 1 species
CAUCAGGUAACAUGAAAUCGUACCCCAAACCGACACAGGUGGUCAGGUAGAGAAUACUCAGGCGCUUGAGAGAACUCGGGUGAAGGAACUAGGCAAAAUGGUGCCGUAACUUCGGGAGAAGGCACGCUGGCAUUAGGUAAAGGGACUUGCUCCCGGCGCCGAAGCCAGUCGCAGAUACCAGCUGGCUGCAACUGUUUAAUAAAAACACAGCACUGUGCAAACACGAAAGUGGACGUAUACGGUGUGACGCCUGCCCGGUGCUGGAAGGUUAAUUGAUGGGGUCAGCCGCAAGGCGAAGCUCUUGAUCGAAGCCCCAGUAAACGGCGGCCGUAACUAUAACGGUCCUAAGGUAGCGAAAUUCCUUGUCGGGUAAGUUCCGACCUGCACGAAUGGCGUAAUGAUGGCCAGGCUGUCUCCACCCGAGACUCAGUGAAAUUGAACUCGCUGUGAAGAUGCAGUGUACCCGCGGCAAGACGGAAAGACCCCGUGAACCUUUACUAUAGCUUGACACUGAACAUUGAGCCUUGAUGUGUAGGAUAGGUGGGAGGCAU